rnacentral:rRNA from 1 species
UACGUAGGGUGCAAGCGUUGUCCGGAAUUAUUGGGCGUAAAGAGCUCGUAGGCGGUUUGUCGCGUCUGCUGUGAAAAUCCAGGGCUUAACCCUGGACCUGCAGUGGGUACGGGCAGACUGGAGUGCGGUAGGGGAGAUCGGAAUUCCUGGUGUAGCGGUGAAAUGCGUAGAUAUCUGGAGGAACACCGGUGGCGAAGGCGCCCACCUGGCCUGCUACUGACGCUGAAGCUCGAAAGCUAGGGGAGCAAACGGG